GACCUUGCCUUACAGGGGAGACCCCGAAAUCACAAAGUUGGUUUUUCCAGGGCAAGGCUUAUCAUACAUUGCCCCUGGGUGUGCCGAUCCCUCUGGUUUCCCCAAAUGCAAAACUGACUGCACGAUUUGUGGUAGUGGGGAUUGCACUCAUAUUCUCUCCU
ensembl:snRNA U1 U1 spliceosomal RNA